rnacentral:rRNA from 1 species
GACGAACGCUGGCGGCGUGCUUAACACAUGCAAGUCGAACGGAAAGGCCCUGCUUUUGUGGGGUGCUCGAGUGGCGAAAGGGUGAGUAACACGUGAGUAACCUGCCCUUGACUUUGGGAUAACUUCAGUAAACUGGGGCUAAUACCGGAUAGGAGCUCCUGCUGCAUGGUGGGGGUUGGAAAGUUUCGGCGGUUGGGGAUGGACUCGCGGCUUAUCAGCUUGUUGGUGGGGUAGUGGCUUACCAAGGCUUUGACGGGUAGCCGGCCUGAGAGGGUGACCGGCCACAUUGGGACUGAGAUACGGCCCAGACUCCUACGGGAGGCAGCAGUGGGGAAUAUUGCACAAUGGGCGGAAGCCUGAUGCAGCAAAGCCGCGUGCGGGAUGACGGCCUUCGGGUUGUAAACCGCUUUCGCCUGUGACGAAGCGUGAGUGACGGUAAUGGGUAAAGAAGCACCGGCUAACUACGUG